rnacentral:rRNA from 1 species
GACGAACGCUGGCGGCGUGCUUAACACAUGCAAGUCGAACGGAAAGGCCCUGCUUUUGUGGGGUGCUCGAGUGGCGAACGGGUGAGUAACACGUGAGUAACCUGCCCUUGACUUUGGGAUAACUUCAGGAAACUGGGGCUAAUACCGGAUAGGAGCUCCUGCUGCAUGGUGGGGGUUGGAAAGUUUCGGCGGUUGGGGAUGGACUCGCGGCUUAUCAGCUUGUUGGUGGGGUAGUGGCUUACCAAGGCUUUGACGGGUAGCCGGCCUGAGAGGGUGACCGGCCACAUUGGGACUGAGAUACGGCCCAGACUCCUACGGGAGGCAGCAGUGGGGAAUAUUGCACAAUGGGCGGAAGCCUGAUGCAGCAACGCCGCGUGCGGGAUGACGGCCUUCGGGUUGUAAACCGCUUUCGCCUGUGACGAAGCGUGAGUGACGGUAAUGGGUAAAGAAGCACCGGCUAACUACGUGCCAGCAGCCGCGGUGAUACGUAAGGUGCGAGCGUUGUCCGGAUUUAUUGGGCGUAAAGGGCUCGUAGGUGGUUGAUCGCGUCGGAAGUGUAAUCUUGGGGCUUAACCCUGAGCGUGCUUUCGAUACGGGUUGACUUGAGGAAGGUAGGGGAGAAUGGAAUUCCUGGUGGAGCGGUGGAAUGCGCAGAUAUCAGGAGGAACACCAGUGGCGAAGGCGGUUCUCUGGGCCUUUCCUGACGCUGAGGAGCGAAAGCGUGGGGAGCGAACAGGCUUAGAUACCCUGGUAGUCCACGCUGUAAACGGUGGGUACUAGGUGUGGGGUCCAUUCCACGGGUUCCGUGCCGUAGCUAACGCUUUAAGUACCCCGCCUGGGGAGUACGGCCGCAAGGCUAAAACUCAAAGGAAUUGACGGGGCCCCGCACAAGCGGCGGAGCAUGCGGAUUAAUUCGAUGCAACGCGUAGAACCUUACCUGGGUUUGGCAUGGAUCGGGAGCGCUCAGAGAUGGGUGUGCCUCUUUUGGGGUCGGUUCACAGGUGGUGCAUGGCUGUCGUCAGCUCGUGUCGUGAGAUGUUGGGUUAAGUCCCGCAACGAGCGCAACCCUUGUUCACUGUUGCCAGCACGUUAUGGUGGGGACUCAGUGGAGACCGCCGGGGUCAACUCGGAGGAAGGUGGGGAUGACGUCAAGUCAUCAUGCCCCUUAUGUCCAGGGCUUCACGCAUGCUACAAUGGCUGGUACAGAGAGUGGCGAGCCUGUGAGGGUGAGCGAAUCUCGGAAAGCCGGUCUCAGUUCGGAUUGGGGUCUGCAACUCGACCUCAUGAAGUCGGAGUCGCUAGUAAUCGCAGAUCAGCAACGCUGCGGUGAAUACGUUCCCGGGGCU